UGNNNNNNNNNNGUCAGGGAUCAGCUGUCCCACUCUGGGGUCGUGAACUCUGAUCUGGCUGUGCCCCUGUUUGACUUACUGCUCCGUGUGGCCCUGGCCGAGGUCUGCUCCAGUCCCGAACCCCAGGAGGACAAGGCUGAGAGGAAGUUAGCAGUGUGUGUGGAGAGUGUGGUCCCGGCGGGGGAUCUAUCUGAGGCUGAGGAGGGAGACGAGGUGCAGGGGUGUGGUGAGGCUCCAGUGCUAGGGGAGGAGGAGGGAUACGAGGCAGACAGCGAGAGCAACCCAGAGGACAUGGCCAAGCAGGAAGAAGCUCGCCUGCAUUCAGUGUUGCAGAGUGCACUCUGGGUCCUUGGUAAGUUCAGAGCGUUGACAGAUUGUCUGUUGGUAAGUUCAGAGCGUUGACAGAUUGUUGGUAAGUUCAGAGCGUUGACAGAUUGUCUGUUGGUAAGUUCAGAGCGUUGACAGAUUGUUGGUAAGUUCAGAGCGUUGACAGAUUGUUGGUAAGUUCAGAGCGUUGACAGAUUGUUGGUAAGUUCAGAGCGUUGACAGAUUGUCUGUUGGUAAGUUCAGAGCGUUGACAGAUUGUCUGUUGGUAAGUUCAGAGCG
rnacentral:lncRNA from 13 species